GUGGGGAAUUUUGGACAAUGGGCGAAAGCCUGAUCCAGCCAUGUCGCGUGCAGGAUGAAGGCCUUCGGGUUGUAAACUGCUUUUGUACGGAACGAAAAGACUCCUUCUAAUAAAGGGGGUCCAUGACGGUACCGUAAGAAUAAGCACCGGCUAACUACGUGCCAGCAGCCGCGGUAAUACGUAGGGUGCAAGCGUUAAUCGGAAUUACUGGGCGUAAAGCGUGCGCAGGCGGUUAUAUAAGACAGAUGUGAAAUCCCCGGGCUCAACCUGGGAACUGCAGUUGUGACUGUAUAGCUAGAGUACGGUAGAGGGGGAUGGAAUUCCGCGUGUAGCAGUGAAAUGCGUAGAUAUGCGGAGGAACACCGAUGGCGAAGGCAAUCCCCUGGACCUGUACUGACGCUCAUGCACGAAAGCGUGGGGAGCAAACAGGAUUAGAUACCCUAGUAGUCC
rnacentral:rRNA from 1 species